ensembl:lncRNA
GUGAGAAUCCUGCUACUAAUACCGAGUACCACACUUUACUUCAGAUUCACUUCAAAGCUAACACACACACACCGCUAACACACACUGCUAACACACACACACACACACACCACUAACACACACUGCUAAUGUACAGCAUUAAGUGUUAUCUCUUCAUGAAUAUACAUUUCCAUUUAUUCAUUUAGCAGAAAUAGUUUCUUACUCGUUCUUUCUCACUAUUUACUGUCAGAUCUUAUCUUUCUCUUUAAAUGAUUCUUUCUUUCUUUCUCUUUCCCAUCUUUUUCUUUUGUGCUUUCUUUCCUUUCUUUACCCCUUGUUCUUGCCUUUUUACUUGAAUUAUUGGGGGUUUGUUUAUUUCUUCUUUCUUUCUUUCAUGUUUUGGCUUUUUUAUUUCUCUAGUUUGUUCUUUCUGUCGUUCCCUCUUUCUUUCUUCCUCUCUUUCCCAUCUUUUCUUUUUUAGUUUACUGAGUUUAGUCUUUCUUUCUUUUCCAAUUUUUUUCUUACCCGUUUACUUUUUACUUUAGUUUUUCUUUCUCUCAUUCUUCUCUUUUUACUUUAGUUUUUCUUUCUCUCAUUCUUCUCUUUUUACUUUAGUUUUUCUUUCUCUCAUUCUUCUCUUUUUACUUUAGUUUUUCUUUCUCUCAUUCUUCUCUUUUUUAGUUUAGCUUUGAAUUAUCUCUUCUUGGUCUUUACCUUUUUUUCCGGAUUGCUGAUUUUUCUUUCUUUAUUUUUAUUUGGUUUACCCUUUCUUCCAUUCAUUAUUAUUAUUUUUCGGCUUUUUAUUUCUCUACUUUAUUCUUUCUUCCUUUCUUCACCAUUCUUUUCUUCUUCUUUUUUUUAGUUUACUGAGUUUAGAUUUGAAUUCUUUUUCUAAUUCUUUAUCUGUUCUUUACUUUUUCAGUUUAUUUUUCUUUCUAUCUUCCGUCCCCAUUCUUUUCUUUUUUAAAAAAAUAGUUUUGCUAAUUUUCUAGUUUAGAUUUGAAUUAUUUUCAUUAUUCUUUAUCUUUGUUUAUUUUGUUUUAUUUUUAUUUGCCUUACUCUUUCUUUCUUACUUCCUUUCUACUUAAUUUUUUGUUUGUUUUAAUUCCUCUACACUAUUCUCUCUCUCUCUCUCUCUUUCUUUCUUUCUUCCUGUCUCUCAUUCUUUUCUUUUCUCAGUUUAGUUUAUUGACUUCAGUUGUUGUAUUCUUUUUCUUUCUUCCUUCCGUCCCCUCUUUUCUUCACGCCGGUCUGGAUCACCUCACUCGCUCGGGAACAUUAACACUUUGAAGCUGUUUAUCAUUAGAGAGCUUUGAAAAAUUUUCAAAGUUUUUGCUUUUUCCUUUUUUUUUUUUUUAAAUUCUUUUUUUUUUUACUUUCAGUAGAGAAGUUUCCAGCAGGAGGACAUCCAGUGGUACAACUCUGAAACCCGUUGUUUGUGUGUGCGAGUUAUAUAUGAUAUGAUGAUAUGUGUGUAAUGAUCAUUUUGGACUUGAC